rnacentral:lncRNA from 1 species
ACACUUCCUGGUCCUCUCUGGCUGCGUCUGAGGGCCUUAGCUCUGGCCAGGGGCGCUGCAACGGGCUCAGCCUUCUAGGGGUGGCGGGUGAAGGCCUACACCUGCCCCAGGACGGCCAGGUCCACCAGCACCUGCAACAGACGGAGAACUGAAGGAGCAUCUUGAAGCUGUGGCUGUCUUGAAGGUGUCGCCGCUUGUCCUCACGAGCACCAUUUUGAUUCUCGUGCCCUGUGUGCAUGGGUGGCCAGCGUUGCUGGUAGGGCUCCUGCACGCUCAGAGUGGCCUUGGCCAGGAAGUCCAGGGUUUCCGCAGGCAGAGUGUAUGAACAAGAUGCCACAGACAUGUGAGAAAUGGAACUUUUGACAAGAUCUGUGAAAAGAAUGGUAUUUUAUUGUAUUAGGAUUCUCCAGAGGGACAGAACUGAUCGGAUAUAUGUGUAUAUGAAAAGGAGUUUAUUAGGGAGAAUUGGCUCACAUGAUCAUAAGGCA